rnacentral:rRNA from 1 species
CCCUUAGAUGUUCUGGGCUGCACGCGCGCUACACUGAUGCGAUCAACAAGUUUUUCCUAUGUCGAUAGACACGGGUAAUCUUUUGAACUCGCAUCGUGAUGGGGAUAGAUUAUUGUAAUUAUUAAUCUUCAACGAGGAAUUCCUAGUAGGUGCAAAUCAUCAGUUUGCAUCGAUUACGUCCCUGCCCUUUGUACACACCGCCCGUCGCUGCUACCGAUUGGUUGAUCUGGUGAAUUAUUCGGACUGCCGGCUGAAGGGGUUUCCUCAUCUGCCAGCGGAAAGUCUUGUUAACCCUAUCGACUAGAGGAAGCAGAAGUCGUAACA